rnacentral:rRNA from 1 species
GAACCUCCUUCGGGAGGGGAUUAGUGGCGAACGGGUGAGUAACACGUGGGCAAUCUGCCCUGCACUCUGGGACAAGCCCUGGAAACGGGGUCUAAUACCGGAUACUGACCCGCUUGGGCAUCCAAGCGGUUCGAAAGCUCCGGCGGUGCAGGAUGAGCCCGCGGCCUAUCAGCUUGUUGGUGAGGUAAUGGCUCACCAAGGCGACGACGGGUAGCCGGCCUGAGAGGGCGACCGGCCACACUGGGACUGAGACACGGCCCAGACUCCUACGGGAGGCAGCAGUGGGGAAUAUUGCACAAUGGGCGAAAGCCUGAUGCAGCGACGCCGCGUGAGGGAUGACGGCCUUCGGGUUGUAAACCUCUUUCAGCAGGGAAGAAGCGAAAGUGACGGUACCUGCAGAAGAAGCGCCGGCUAACUACGUGCCAGCAGCCGCGGUAAUACGUAGGGCGCGAGCGUUGUCCGGAAUUAUUGGGCGUAAAGAGCUCGUAGGCGGCUUGUCACGUCGGUUGUGAAAGCCCGGGGCUUAACCCCGGGUCUGCAGUCGAUACGGGCAGGCUAGAGUUCGGUAGGGGAGAUCGGAAUUCCUGGUGUAGCGGUGAAAUGCGCAGAUAUCAGGAGGAACACCGGUGGCGAAGGCGGAUCUCUGGGCCGAUACUGACGCUGAGGAGCGAAAGCGUGGGGAGCGAACAGGAUUAGAUACCCUGGUAGUCCACGCCGUAAACGGUGGGCACUAGGUGUGGGCGACAUUCCCCCGUCGUCCGUGCCGCAGCUAACGCAUUAAGUGCCCCGCCUGGGGGAGUACGGCCGCAAGGCUAAAACUCAAAGGAAUUGACGGGGGCC